UAGGGAAUCUUCCGCAAUGGGCGAAAGCCUGACGGAGCAACGCCGCGUGAGUGAUGAAGGUCUUCGGAUCGUAAAACUCUGUUAUUAGGGAAGAACAAAUGUGUAAGUAACUAUGCACGUCUUGACGGUACCUAAUCAGAAAGCCACGGCUAACUACGUGCCAGCAGCCGCGGUAAUACGUAGGUGGCAAGCGUUAUCCGGUAUUAUUGGGCGUAAAGCGCGCGUAGGCGGUUUUUUAAGUCUGAUGUGAAAGCCCACGGCUAAACCGUGGAGGGUCAUUGGAAACUGGAAAACUUGAGUGCAGAAGAGGAAAGUGGAAUUCCAUGUGUAGCGGUGAAAUGCGCAGAGAUAUGGAGGAACACCAGUGGCGAAGGCGACUUUCUGGUCUGUAACUGACGCUGAUGUGCGAAAGCGUGGGGAUCAAAAAGG
rnacentral:rRNA from 1 species